CCGUCUUGGGCGGCCGGUCCGCGCCGUGUGAAGCUCCUUCGACGAGUCGAGUUGUUUGGGAAUGCAGCUCUAAGCGGGUGGUAAAUUUCAUCUAAAGCUAAAUACUGGUCGGAGACCGAUAGCGCACAAGUAGAGUGAUCGAAAGGUUAAAAGCACCUUGAAAAGGGAGUUAAACAGCACGUGAAAUUGUUGAAAGGGAAGCGCUUGCGGCCAGACUCGGGGGCGGGGUUCAGCGGGCGCUCGUCGCCCGUGCACUCCCCGUCUCCCGGGCCAGCAUCAGUUUCGACGGCCGGUCAAAGGCCUCCGGAAUGUGUCGUCUCUCGGGACGUCUUAUAGCCGGGGGUGCAAUGCGGCCCGUCGGGACUGAGGAACGCGCUUCGGCUCGGAUGCUGGCGUAAUGGCCGUAAGCGGCCCGUCUUGAAACACGGACCAAGGAGUCUAACAUCCACGCGAGUGUUCGGGUGUCAAACCCGUGCGCGCAGUGAAAGCGAACGGAGGUGGGAGCCUUAGGGCGCACCAUCGACCGAUCCUGAAGUCUUCGGAAUGGAUUUGAGUAGGAGCGUGGCCGUUGGGACCCGAAAGAUGGUGAACUAUGCCUGAAUAGGGUGAAGCCAGAGGAAACUCUGGUGGAGGCUCGCAGCGGUUCUGACGUGCAAAUCGAUUCGUCAAAUUUGG
rnacentral:rRNA from 1 species